rnacentral:ribozyme from 1 species
CGCUCAGCAAUUCCUAUCCCGACCUUCUCGUGGUACCGGCCAGAAACUACGAGCAACCUUAGGGAAGAUCGGAUAACUAACCCCGGUGGGAGCUUUGGUCGUAGGCUGACAGGGAAGG